GGAAAUCUCACCAGGCCCGGACACUGGAAGGAUUGACAGAUUGAUAGCUCUUUCUUCAGUGGGUGGUGGUGCAUGGCCGUUCUUAGUUGGUUGAGUGAUUUGUCUGGUUAAUUCCGUUAACGAACGAGACCUUAACCUGCUAAAUAGUGACGCGGUUCAUCGAACCGUGGGCCACUUCUUAGAGGGACUAUCGGAUUCAAACCGAUGGAAGUGUGAGGCAAUAA
rnacentral:rRNA from 1 species